rnacentral:lncRNA from 1 species
CGCUGUCCCCGUCCCCCCCGUCCCCGUCUCCCAAUAAACGCCGGUGUCCGGUGGAAGGAGGGGGGGGGGGCUGCGGCCCCCGGCGUCGCCUUUAAUUCCCGCCGCGUCGCCGGGGCAGAAACGGCCCCGGAGAGACCCCCGGGACCCGCCGCCGGGAUUUGGGGCCGGGAACAAGUCCAGAGCCAUCAUUUGGGGUCAGGAGCCGGGAUUCGGGGCCGGGAAUUGGGAUUCAGGGCCAGGAACAAGUCCGGAGCCACCGUUCAGGGUCAGGAGCCGGGAUUUGGGGCCAGGAACUGGGAUUUGGGGACCAGGAGCCAGGAUUCGGGGCCGGGAACUGGGAUUUGGGGACUGGAGCGAGUCCGGAGUCACCAUUCGGGGUUGGGAGCCGGGAUUCGGCGACCAAAGCGAGCCAAGAGCUGGGAUUUGGGGACCGGAGCGAGUCCGGAGUCACCGUUCGGGGCUGGGAUUCAGGGCCGGGAACUGGGAUUUGGGGACUGGAGCAAGCCCAGAGCCGCCGUUCGGGGCCGGGAUUUGGGAAUC